GUGGGGAAUAUUGCACAAUGGGCGAAAGCCUGAUGCAGCGACGCCGCGUGAGCGAAGAAGUAUUUCGGUAUGUAAAGCUCUAUCAGCAGGGAAGAUAAUGACGGUACCUGACUAAGAAGCACCGGCUAAAUACGUGCCAGCAGCCGCGGUAAUACGUAUGGUGCAAGCGUUAUCCGGAUUUACUGGGUGUAAAGGGAGCGUAGGCGGUUUUGCAAGUCUGAUGUGAAAGCCCGGGGCUCAACUCCGGUAUUGCAUUGGAAACUGCAGAACUAGAGUGUCGGAGGGGUAAGUGGAAUUCCUAGUGUAGCGGUGAAAUGCGUAGAUAUUAGGAGGAACACCAGUGGCGAAGGCGGCUUACUGGACGAUUACUGACGCUGAGGCUCGAAAGCGUGGGGAGCAAACAGG
rnacentral:rRNA from 1 species